rnacentral:rRNA from 1 species
UACGUAGGGUGCAAGCGUUGUCCGGAAUCAUUGGGCGUAAAGCGCGUGUAGGCGGUCCGGUAAGUCCGCUGUGAAAGUCGAGGGCUCAACCCUCGGAUGCCGGUGGAUACUGUCGGGCUCGAGUACGGAAGAGGCGAGUGGAAUUCCUGGUGUAGCGGUGAAAUGCGCAGAUAUCAGGAGGAACACCGAUUGCGAAGGCAGCUCGCUGGGACGUGACUGACGCUGAGACGCGAAAGCGUGGGGAGCAAACAGG